UACGUAGGGACCAAGCGUUGUUCGGAUUUACUGGGCGUAAAGGGCGCGUAGGCGGCAAUUCAAGUCAUCUGUGAAAUCUCCGGGCUUAACUCGGAACGGUCAGAUGAUACUGCUUGCUAGAGUGCGGGAAGGGGCAAUCGGAAUUCUCGGUGUAGCGGUGAAAUGCGUAGAUAUCGAGAGGAACACCUGAGGUGAAGACGGGUUGCUGGGCCGACACUGACGCUGAGUGCGC
rnacentral:rRNA from 1 species